GACGAACGCUGGCGGCGUGCUUAACACAUGCAAGUCGAACGGAAAGGCCCUGCUUUUGUGGGGUGCUCGAGUGGCGAACGGGUGAGUAACACGUGAGUAACCUGCCCUUGACUUGGGGAUAACUUCAGGAAACUGGGGCUAAUACCGGAUAGGAGCUCCUGCUGCAUGGUGGGGGUUGGAAAUUUUCGGCGGUUGGGGAUGGACUCGCGGCUUAUCAGCUUGUUAGUGGGGGAGUGGCUUACCAAGGCUUUGACGGGUAGCCGGCCUGAGAGGGUGACCGGCCACCUUGGGACUGCGAUACGGCCCAGACUCCUACGGGAGGCAGCAGUGGGAAAUAUUGCACAAUGGGCGGAAGCCUGAUGCAGCAACGCCGCGUGCGUGAUGACGGCCUUCGGGUUGUAAACCGCUUUCGCCUGUGACGAAGCGUGAGUGACGGUAAUGGGUAAAGAAGCACCGGCUAACUACGUG
rnacentral:rRNA from 1 species